rnacentral:rRNA from 1 species
GACGAACCGUGCGAACGUUAUUCGGAAUCACUGGGCUUAAAGCGCGUGUAGGCGGGCCAUCACGUCGGUCGUUGAAAGCCCCCGGCUCAACCGGGGAACCGGCGCCGAUACGAGUGGCCUGGAGGGGGGUAGGGGGACCUGGAACUUCCGGUGGAGCGGUGAAAUGCGUUGAGAUCGGAAGGAACGCCCGUGGCGAAAGCGAGGUCCUGGACCCCAUCUGACGCUGAGACGCGAAAGCCAGGGGAGCGAACGGG